ACUGGGCAUAGAGCCCAAUGUGGGGCUUGAGCUCACAACCCUGACAUCAAGGCCUGAGCUGAUACCAAGAGUCAGACACUUAACUGACUGAUCCACCCAAGAAUGGACAUAUUUUUGAUUGACUUUUCUAGUUCUGGGAUCUCAGUGAACCAGGAAAGGCCCCUACAGAUAGUAUGCCCAAGACCAUUCCCAUCUAUUAUAGGGUUGCUUGGACUUAAAAUCCAAGUCCCUCUUAGUCAGGGAUUAGACUCCUGACCUGUUUAAGGCAGUGGCUAGGAAUGGGCCCAAUUUAGGGAUAUGGGUCCUAGGGAAGUCAUAUUAUAAACCUCCAGUAGAUGGGACACCUGGUUGGCUCAGUCAGUUAAGCAUCUGACUCUUGGUUUCAGCUCAGGUCAUGAUCUCACGCAUGGUUCCUGAGUUUGAGCUCCAAAUCAGCACGGAGCCUGCUUCAGAUUCUUUCUCCCUCUCUCUUUGCCCCUCCACUACCCUUCCUCUGCUGUCUCUGUCUCUCAAAAAUAAAUAAACUUAAAGAAAAAGGGUUACCAUGCAUAGUAGUUGGGGGGCUGCACACAGGGAGUCUGCUGUUAGUCUCCCUAAUCUGAGUAAAGGUAGGGGCAGUUUAGAUGGGUCUGGAGAGGAAAUAGGGUGGAUCUGGCAGAGACUCAGGAUCUGGAGGGGACAGAGUUGCAGAUGGGGCUGAGGGCUGGGGACUUCAGGGCAAAGGAUCUUUGGGGCAAAGGGAAGUCUAUGGGGUCUUCGGGGGUCCCUCCAAAAGAGCAUGGUCUUACCCUUUGGGUUAGGUAGUUGGAUAGGCUUAAACCCACCUUUCUUCUGUAGUCCCUUAUUCUUGUGGAGGGCCAUAACGCCUUGUACAUAACGGAUCUCAUCCCAUCGCUCUUCCUCCUUACAAAAUAGGUCUAACUGAAGUAUGGUAUUAUAAUUUAACAAGCCAUUUCCUGGCUUCUUCUCCUGGUCUCCUAGUUGGUACGGAGGCCAGGCAGUAUUACAAAAGAACACAAGUUUUCUUUGUCAUUGGGGUAUACCCAAAAGGCUUCCAGUAACCCAGGAGGCACCCUAGCAGGUGGUCUGACAGGAUUGAUGUCUGGUUCCCCAUAUCCUUGGAUCUCUGCAAAGAAUUUGUCUCCAGCUGCCAAGAGGUCUAUAAUAAGGGUUAGUGGAGACACAGACUUGCUGCUCUCAGCACACUGAAAAUUCCAUUCUCCAGAAAGCUGGUAGGUAAGCUCUCCCAGUUGAUAAUUUAAAAGUGUACACUCGGGGCACCUGGGUGAUUCGGUCGGUUAAGUGGCCGACUUCAGCUCAGGUCAUGAUCUCACAGUUCGUGAGUUGGAGCCCUGCGUUGGGCUCUGUGCUGACAGCUCACAGCCUGGAGGCUGUUUUGAAUUCUGUGCCUCCCUCUCUCUCUGCCCCUCCCCUGCUCAUGCUCUGUCUCUCUGUCUCUCUCUCAGAAAUAAACAACAACAAUAAUAAUGACAAUAAUAAUAAUAAAAGAUGUCCAGAGUGAACACUGACUCCAUUCAGUGAGUCGAGUUGCAAGUACCUAACAAAUUAGGUGCCAAGAGGAAUUCUCCUAUGCCGUUCCCCGCAGGUUCCCCAGCAACACAGACGGCAUGACCUCGGUGAGCUGCCUACCGUGUCUGUCACCUGUUGAGAGCUGGAGGACCCCAAAGGGUUAUGUCCUAACCGGGUAUCCAAAAUACGGUCCCCCAAGUUGGAUCCCCUUCUUGGUGGGUGUGAAGCGCAGAGACACAACCAAGCCAAAGAGUGGGAAAAGGAAGGGUUUUACUUGCAAAAGUUGGGAGGACACCGGGGACGUGUCCCAAAGCACUAUGGAUCCAGAACAGUGGAAGUUUUAAGCUAAGGGUGCAUGCAUAUUCACGAGAAGGAAUUCAGCAUAGAACUGGGCCCAAGUCACCCUAAGCUGACAGGUCCUAGUUGACUGAAGACACGUGGGACAGAAAGGUCAGCAGCAUCAAAGAGGGCCACUUAUGUCCCAUUAGAGUCCUGGGGAGGCCUGGGACAGCUGUGCUCCAUCAGGAAUUUUCUGCACCAAGAAGCCAGCAGACCAGGAGAGGUCUGGGCCAGACGCCACCCCUGCUGAGGCCGAGGGCUCCCAGCCAUAAGCUUUGGGAAUUGGCUGAGCUUGGGUUUUUUUUGGGGGGGGGGGGGCGGGGGGGGCACAGAGAGGAAGCCUCUGUGAGUCUUGCAAAAAGCUGGGGCCGGGUUAAUAUUCGGUGUCAGCUAGGCAGCUAAGCUUUCCUCUUUGGGGUAAUACACUGUGGUCCCCUCCUGGGGGUGAUGCCCUCUCCUCAGAGCCCCCAGCCUCCAUUCCCUGAGCCAUGCAACUUCAGACCAGGAGAGUAGCAGAUCCCAUUCAGCCCUUGGGAAACUCCUGCCUCUUUCCACCUAUUCAAAACAGUUCCUGUUUACCAAGUGCCAAGUGUUUGGCCUUCAUUUUAUUUAUUUGUUUGUUUGUUUGUUUGUUUUACUAUUUGUUUUUGAGAGAGAGACAGAGAGUACAAGUGAGUGAGAGGGAGAGAGAGAGAGAGAGAAUUGGGGUCACCCAAAACGGGGCUGGAGCUCACAAACCAUGAGAUCAUGACCUGAGCCGAAGUCAGAUGCUUAACAGACUGAGCCACCCAGGUGCCCUGGCCUUCAUUUUGUUGAAUCUCCCCAGAAAUUCUCUGAGGUUCGUGUUAUCUCAUUUACGUACGCAUGAAGUGAGGUUUGAGGGGUAAAUGACUUGCCCAGCUAGUGAAUGACAAGAUUAGAGCCUGGGUGGCUCCGACCUGCUUCUGCCCUCACACGGGGGCGGGCACUAUAUUUAACAUAUCAGUCCUAUCUGUAGAGGCAAGUUUUGAGACUGCCAUUCUUAUUUUUUUAAUGUUUAUUUUUGAGAGAGAGAGAGAGAGAGAGUGCAUGCGUGUGCAAGUGGGGGAAGGGCAGAGAGAGAGGGAGACACAGAAUCCGAAACAGGCUCCAGGCUCUGAGCUGUCAGCACAGAGCCUGACGCGGGGUUCGAACCCACAAGCUGUGAGAUCAUGACCUGAGCCGAUGUCGGAUGCCCAACUGACUGAGCCACCCAGGUACCCCUGCCAUUAUUUUUAAGUGAAUUCGGUCAUUCAAAUGUCUGUUUUUAUUUAUUAUCAUUUUUUAUGUUUAUUUAUUUAUUUUGAGAGAGAGAGAGAAAGCACAUACAAGCAGGGGAGGAGCAGAGAGAGAGGGAAAGAGAAUCCCAAGCAGGCUCCGUGCUGUCAUUGUGGAACCUGAUGUGGGGCUCCAUUCCAAAAACCACGAGAUCAUGACCUGAGCUGAAACCAAAAGUCAGACAUUCAACCAAGUGAGCCACCCAGGUGCCUCCUGAGCCCUGUCUUUCUGUAGGCAGGACCCAGAAUCACAAAGGCUGAAGAGAGUGAGGAGCAAGAUGAGGGAGACCAGAAGAGGGGCGACUCUUUGAUUCAGGACCAGAAGGAGGAGAAGGAAAGGAGAUAGCGUGUUGGCAGUUGCCCAAAACACGGGUCUGAAAAACCAGGACGGCGGUUUCCAGGACCAUCCAUUUUCAGCAUUUUGAGCAGGCUGGCUUUGACCCUUAGUACACGGUUCCCUGAUGCUCUUUGAGGCGCAUGUCUGUCCUUUCAAAGGAUCUGUGUCUUUCUCACCGACUGCUACCCCUGCUUUGGAGCCACUGGGAUGAAACGAAGGUAAAGUUCUGCUCUUGCUGUACCGUCUGGUGGCUGGGACUAUGAAAGCCAUGCUCCCAGGGGAAUUUCCAUUCAGCACCAGGGACCUUUUGUUUUCAUGCAGAUAAGGAAUGUGGCAACCAGCACCCGGAAUGCUAAUAAAAGAGCAAGCCAAGCUACGCUGGUGAGAAUGAGAACUAAAAAAUAACAUCCAAAAUCUAAGAAAAAGAGGCGCCUGGGUGGCUCAAGUCAGUUCAGCAUCCAACUUCAGCUCAGGUCAUGAUCUCAUGGCUCGUCUGUUCGAGCCCCGUGUAGGGCCCUGUGCUGCCGGCUCGGAGCCUGGAGCCUGCUUUGGAUUCUGUAUCUCCCUCUCUCUCUGCCCUUCCCCAACUCACACUCCGUCACUCUCUCUCUCAAAAAUAAAGAAACAUUUAAAAAAUUAAAACAAAACAAACAGUUAUGUAUAAAGAUAAAUAAAUAAGAAAAAGCCCCGUGCCCAAAGGUGAGUCGCUUGCAGCUGUCCCUGAGUCCCCCAGUGGUCUCACCGUGACACCUGACUGGGUAAGCUGCAGCGCGGUCCUUCUCCAGCAUAUUUUGCAAACACUGAAAAUGGUAAUCAUAAAGAUACAAAGCAAGCUGGAGAAAUUAUUUACAGCAAAUUAUCUGGGGGGAAACGUCAGGAGGCAACACUGUAUGUGUGCUGUUGCCUUAAGGAAAGAGAAGGGAAACAUACCAAGGCUGUGCUUCUCAAACCAUCCCAGGUGAAGGACCAGUUUGUUUUUGUAAAAUUUCCAGUCCACCACGAACCAACAGUUUGGUGAAAUACCAUAAAAACAAAUGCCAAACACACAUCUAUCAAAUGACCGAUACUUUUAAAAACUCUCAAAAUCCAACAGUGAAAAAACCCAAACCAAUCCAAGCUGGAAAUGGGCAUUGGACACACGAACAGACCCUUUACCAAAGAGGAUGGCAAGGAAGCACAUAAAAUCAUGUUCGCUAUCAUUAUCCACCAGGAAAUGCAAAUGAGGGGGCAUCUGGGUGGCUCAGUCCGACUCUUAGUUUCAGCUCAGGUCAUGAUCUCACGGUUUGUAAUUUCGAGCCCCGGGUCGGGCUCUGCUCGGAUAGCACAGAGCCCACUUGGGAUUCUCUCUCUUCCGCUCUCUGCCCCUACCCGACUCGUGCUCUCUCUCUCUCUCACAAGUAAUAAAUAAAUAAACUUUAAAAAU